rnacentral:rRNA from 1 species
GCUNACCGUGCAGUCGAACGAUGAAGGGAGCUUGCUCCUGGAUUAGUGGCGAACGGGUGAGUAACACGUGAGUAACCUGCCCUUAACUCUGGGAUAAGCCUGGGAAACUGGGUCUAAUACCGGAUAUGACUCCUCAUCGCAUGGUGGGGGGUGGAAAGCUUUUUGUGGUUUUGGAUGGACUCGCGGCCUAUCAGCUUGUUGGUGAGGUAAUGGCUUACCAAGGCGACGACGGGUAGCCGGCCUGAGAGGGUGACCGGCCACACUGGGACUGAGACACGGCCCAGACUCCUACGGGAGGCAGCAGUGGGGAAUAUUGCACAAUGGGCGCAAGCCUGAUGCAGCGACGCCGCGUGAGGGAUGACGGCCUUCGGGUUGUAAACCUCUUUCAGUAGGGAAGAAGCGAAAGUGACGGUACCUGCAGAAGAAGCGCCGGCUAACUACGUGCCAGCAGCCGCGGUAAUACGUAGGGCGCAAGCGUUAUCCGGAAUUAUUGGGCGUAAAGAGCUCGUAGGCGGUUUGUCGCGUCUGCCGUGAAAGUCCGGGGCUCAACUCCGGAUCUGCGGUGGGUACGGGCAGACUAGAGUGAUGUAGGGGAGACUGGAAUUCCUGGUGUAGCGGUGAAAUGCGCAGAUAUCAGGAGGAACACCGAUGGCGAAGGCAGGUCUCUGGGCAUUAACUGACGCUGAGGAGCGAAAGCAUGGGGAGCGAACAGGAUUAGAUACCCUGGUAGUCCAUGCCGUAAACGUUGGGCACUAGGUGUGGGGGACAUUCCACGUUUUCCGCGCCGUAGCUAACGCAUUAAGUGCCCCGCCUGGGGAGUACGGCCGCAAGGCUAAAACUCAAAGGAAUUGACGGGGGNCCGCACAAGCGGCGGAGCAUGCGGAUUAAUUCGAUGCANNGCGAAGAACCUUACCAAGGCUUGACAUGGACCGGACCGG